rnacentral:rRNA from 1 species
AAUGAACGCUGGCGGCGUGCUUAACACAUGCAAGUCGAACGAGAAAGUGGACUUCGGUCCGCGAGUAGAGUGGCGAACGGGUGAGUAACGCGUGGAUAAUCUACCUUCGAAUUUGGGAUAACAUUGCGAAAGCGGUGCUAAUACCGGAUAAUAUCUUUGAGUCUUCGGAUUUAAAGAUCAAAGAUGGCCUCUCCUUGGAAGCUAUUGUUUGAAGAUGAGUCCGCGUAUCAUUAGCUUGUUGGUGGGGUAACGGCCUACCAAGGCUACGAUGAUUAGCUGGUCUGAGAGGAUGAUCAGCCACACUGGAACUGACACACGGUCCAG